AAUAUGGCUGGGGGAAGUCAACCACGCCAAAGUGACAAACCUUCAAUCAGAUACAGGUGUAAUCUACUUGAUGGGGCACUGUUUGAAAUCACUGAUUUAGACCGACAGAGUAAUGCCCCUAUUUCUUCUGGAAAUAAGGAGAACCCUAAAAAUUCUGACUCUGAAUCUUCUAAGAUAAUGAGCACAAGUGAGCUUAUAUCAGCAGUUGGAAGUAUAUGGUGUUCUGCAGCUG
rnacentral:misc_RNA from 1 species